rnacentral:rRNA from 1 species
UACGAAGGGGGCUAGCGUUGUUCGGAAUUACUGGGCGUAAAGCGCGCGCAGGCGGCUAUCCAAGUCAGUGGUGAAAGCCCGGAGCUCAACUCCGGAACUGCCAUUGAAACUGUUUAGCUGGAGUAUGAGAGAGGUGAGUGGAAUUCCCAGUGUAGAGGUGAAAUUCGUAGAGAUCGGGAGGAACACCAGUGGCGAAGGCGGCACCCUGGACCAGCACUGACACUGAGGCACGAAAGCGUGGGGAGCAAACAGG